GGUGCGCGCUUUUUUCAGAGAAAAGUAACCUCUUAUCAGAAGGACCGCGAGACCGCCCGGUCAUGCGGUCCCAUUGACUCCACAAUCAGCCACGGGGGAGGGGGAGUUCAUCGUUAUCAUUUGAACGCGAAAUCGCGAGAGCGUGGAACGCACCACGCUCACGAGAAAACGAGAGAGAUCCGAAAAUUCUUGCUCGCCCCAAAAAGACCGUGUGCGUGAUCCCCAAGCAAAACGCACCUCCCAGCAGCCAGGAACAGAUAAACGCUUGGCGAUGGUGGACCUUAGCGAAUCUCGUGAAGGCGGCACUGGUCCCAGCCACUAUCGCAGUGCUGCUGCCGCCACCUAUCAGUGCUAAGGGAACGUGCAUUAAACCUGUGCCGUAGUGACGGUCCAUUUGAAUUCUUGGUUCGAUUCGGUGGGAAUCCUUAUCCUUUCUUCCGGUUCCGCAUAGUUGCCGAGGAAGGAACAAGAAGUCGUCAGUAGUGCACCAGAAGGGCAGCAGUAGUAGUAGGUGUUCCUGUAAAGGCCAAUGUGUGGGAUGGCUCGAGUGCGGUGAUAGUGUUCCGGGGCGUGUGUCUGUGUUCUUUAAUUUCGUUUCGUUUUCGGGAGUUUUCCGCCGCGUUCGAUGUGUGGCGUUGUGCCCCCAUACAACGCUUGAAAACACCCAGCCAGUCAGCCAGCCACCUACGACCGACCUAUCGGCCAAGGCUACGGUGGUGACGGCGGUGGCGGCCAAGACAUCGCACGAGCGAAAAGGGCGUGCGCGGGCCCCGUGAAACGAUAACGGCCGACAACGGUGGAGCAGCAGCAGCAGCAAAGAGCAAAGCAGGCGUUGAGUGGCGAGGGGCCUCUGGCAACCAAACCACCAGCAGCAGCGUCGUCGUCGCCAACUGUGUAAACGUUCUAAUGUUGGCUGGAGCAAGAUAUUCUUCGUCGUUGUGAUUUGCCAGCCCUAUCGGAUCGGAUAGGGUGGCACAGUGCCGAGACGUGGUCGUGGAAAACUUCCUGAUUUUGUGCAACCACCCCAAGGGUGGCACGUCGUUCGUGAAAUGGUGUGCGUGCGUGCCCGGUAGGGAGGAUGGGAUCGUGUUAAGUUUGGUGUGAAUCGCGCGUCCAAUUUCCAUCCCACCAGGCCAUCGGUCCCCUCCAGGCGUCUUCUACAAGCGCGCUGUGUGUGGCGCUCCGGGGAUUUCCUCGAUUCGCGCGGCGCGUUUGUCGCGAAAGCAGAGAAGGCUAAAGAAACAUUCAUUUUCUCAUUCAACAUUUCUCAUCUCUCACGUGCAAGGGCUUACUGCAUGAGAACACGGCGCUUACGAACCCCAUCAUCACCGUGUUGAGGCCCGGAGAGUUUGAGAGGAAAAUUUGCUAAACACAACGACGACGGCGACGACGACUACGACUACAACGACAACGAACAGACGGAGAAGGUACCGGAAUACAGCCGCCAGCUGGGGGUGGCUGGGAAAUCGCGGCUGUCAGCUCGAUAGAUGGCCAACGUCGAACAGCACAGAGCAACCUGCGCUGCUGCAAAGAACAGCAUCGCUCGCGAUAGCGGCAGCAGCAGCAGCAGCAGCAGUUACAUCCAGCUUCUGUGCUCCCCAGUCGUGCUGUUUGUGUGUGUCAAGUCGAGUCGAAUCGGGUGAUCGCGCAUUCUUGUUGAUCGAUCAUCGAAGUGAGCCAAGCGUGUUGCUGAGCCGCAUUUUCGUGGGUUUUCCACUCGAAGACGACGGCGGCAGCGACGACGGGAGUAAUCGAACAAAAAUAAUAACAAAAAAACGCGGGCGCACAAAUACAGCAGUAGCGGUUAGUAGCCAGCAGUAAGUAGUAGGCGGUGCGUAAGUAAGUGCGAGUUCUUGCCUUUACGGUGUUAGUGGACGUCGUGACCACCGUGCGUCGUGUGAUGUUCCGUGUUGUUGUUGCUAGUACCGGGAGAAGGAAGAAAGAUUGUUAAAUCCACGAUCCCGCGAUACCGUUGCGUGCCAGGAAAAGUACGGGGAGUGAAAGUCGUUGUAUUUGUGUUCUGAAACAAGAAAAAGCAGCAGCAGCAGAAGAAGAAACAUAAGAAGAAACUCGGGAAGUGUCCUUUUCGCCAGCCUGCCAGAGUGAGUGGCCAGAAAGGGGUGCCCUUAGCCCAGUCUAGCAGCGCCCCAUUCAUUAAUUCUUCAAUAUCUCCCGUCACCCGCAACGCUUCGGUCGAAGUUUCCGCAAAAUGUGCUGCGUUUGUGUGUGUGUUUCGCUUUGGGUCAGCAACGACGCGCUGCGCGUUUCAACAACAGUUCGUUAACUAACAUAACGGUGCCGGUUUCUGGCGGAUAAACCAGUUGGAGCCGCAAUUAGUCAGGAGGUAUUGAGCAAACGGGAGAAGGAGAAGUAGGAGGGGACAGACAGGGAGCCAACAAACACUCACCGGUUGCCGUUUCACGGUCGUACAACAAGAUCCCGUCCACGGUUUUCCACGAUGACGAAGAAGUUCGAGUUCAACUGGCAGAUCCCGGUCCCG